AGUUUGUCCUUACUUCCACUCAAAGAUUCUUAUCUUAUCUUCUUCCUCACAAUCACAGCAAGAAAGGUUGAAACCAGUGGCUGAGUGUGGAAGUUGAGUUGAUUUGGAGUUUAAAGCAAUAUGAGUUAUGUGGGAACUUUGUUAGUCUUUCUUUCAAGCUGUGUGUGUCUGGUCAUCCUCUUGAUUCUCCUCAAGUUCCUUCACAAGGUAUGGUGGACUCCAAUUCGCAUACAACGCGCGUUGCGGUCACAGGGAAUCAAUGGCCCUUCUUACAGAUUCAUCCAUGGAAACACAAAAGAAAUCUUCAAAAUGAGGAAGGAAUCCACCAGCAAACCCAUGGAAUUAUCAUCCCAUAACUUAUUUCCUAGAAUUCUGCCCGAAAUAUACUUAUGGAUCAACAUUUAUGGGAGGAAUUAUCUUAAUUGGUAUGGUCCAAAAGCCCGAAUAGUUGUUACAGAAUCAGAAUUGGCUAAAGAUAUACUGAACAAUAAAGAUAAAGCUUAUGCAAAGACGGAUGCUGAUGGCUUUGUGAAGAAGCUAUUAGGAGACGGUCUUGUGUUUUCAGAAGGCGAAAAAUGGGCAAAAGUACGAAAACUGGCCAAUCAUGCUUUCCAUGCAGAUAGGUUGAAGAAUAUGAUUCCAGAUAUGAUUUCAAGUGCGGAGAUGAUGUUAGAAAGGUGGAAACAGUAUGAAGGAAAAGAGUUGGAAGUGUAUGAAGAGUUGAGGAUCUUAACGUCGGAAGUGAUUUCUAGAACAGCUUUUGGGAGCAGCUAUUCAGAAGGGAAGGACAUUUUCGAGAUGGUGUUGAAGUUGGCCAUCUUAACUACCAGAAAUGCUUUCAAAAUUAGGCUUCCUGGCCUCAGUAAAAUUUUAAAAACAGCUGACGAUACAGAAUCAGAUGAACUUGAACAAGGAAUACGAUAUUCCAUUAUAAGAAUCAUAAAGAAACGAGAGGAGGAGAUGACUGGAGAAGUAGACAGCUUUGGGACUGAUUAUCUUGGAUUACUUGUGAAGGCUUAUCAUGAUGCUGAUGAGAAGCACAGGAUUACAAUAGAAGAUGUAGUUGAUGAAUGCAAGACAUUUUACCUUGCUGGACAGGAAACUACAGCGACGUUGCUUACAUGGACGGUUCUUCUCCUAGCAAUUCAUACAGACUGGCAAGAGAAAGCGAGGCAGGAGGUGCUAGAGUUAUUUGGCCAAGAACAUCCAAAUUCAGAAGGCAUUGGAAGGCUGAAAAUGAUGAACAUGAUCAUCAACGAGUCUCUAAGACUAUAUCCUCCAGUGGUUUCAUCUGUGAGAAAAGCUAAACACGAAGUCAAAUUGGGGAAGUUCAUUGUUCCAGCCAAUACAGUUCUGCAAAUUCCUCCAUUGGCUUUUCAUCAUGACCCUCAAAUAUGGGGAGAAGAUGUGCUUCUUUUCAAACCAGAGAGAUUUUCUGAAGGGGUUGCUAAGGCAACCAAUAACAACCCAGCCGCGUUUCUUCCCUUCAGUUUUGGACCUCGAAUUUGUGUAGGAAUGAACUUUGCAAUGAAUGAAGCGAAGAUUGCUCUGUCAAUGAUUCUGCAGCGCUAUAGCUUCACUCUCUCCCCUACUUAUAUUCACUCACCAGUUUCAGCUGUGACAAUAUCUCCACAACACGGAGUUCAGGGAUUCUUAGACAUUAACUAGAUUCUGGUCCCCUAUAAGAUUCAAAGCUAGAUAGACCUUGAAUGUUUCAAAAGUGGAGAUAGCAAAGAAGUGUUUGGCUGAUGAGGGAAGUAAAUGUUCUCCAAUGGAUAAUGUGCUAUGGAACUUGGAGGUGGCAUGGCAGCAGCAAGAAGGUGUUGAUGCAGAAGAGAGGAAAUGAGGUGGUGGAACCAGUGGAUAAACUGCAAGAGUUAAAAGGUCUUGGAAAAGAAUCGGUGGACGACAACCCACCUCAAGCUUAAGCGAUACUAGAAGCUCACUUUUGUGUCUUUUGUAUAUUUCCCAUUAUUUUUGCAAAGCACUAAAAGUAUAAAGGUAUAUAUGUAUAUUUUGCAAAACUUUGUCAUGUAACCUUGUUGAUGAAUGGGAAGGAUAAUUUUAGUUAAAGUAAUUAUCGGUGU